CAGCCUGUCGCUCGGUGGCAGAUCAUCUGCUUUGCAUGUAGAAGGUCCUGGGUUCAGUCCCCAGGCAGGGCUGG